UACGUAGGCGGAAAAUUAAGUCAGAGGUGAAAUCCCACAGCUCAACUGUGGAACUGCCUUUGAUACUGGUUGUCUUGAGUUACAGUGAAGUAGAUAGAAUAUGUAGUGUAGCGGUGAAAUGCAUAGAUAUUACAUAGAAUACCGAUUGCGAAGGCAGUCUACUAACUGUAUACUGACGCUAAUGGACGAAAGCGUGGGGAGCGAACAGGAUUAGAUACCCUGGUAGUCC
rnacentral:rRNA from 1 species